UACGUAGGUCCCGAGCGUUGUCCGGAUUUACUGGGUGUAAAGGGCGUGUAGCCGGGUUGACAAGUCAGAUGUGAAAUCCUGCGGCUUAACCGCAGAACUGCAUUUGAAACUGUUGAUCUUGAGUACUGGAGAGGCAGACGGAAUUCCUAGUGUAGCGGUGAAAUGCGUAGAUAUUAGGAGGAACACCAGUGGCGAAGGCGGUCUGCUGGACAGCAACUGACGGUGAGGCGCGAAAGCGUGGGGAGCAAACAGG
rnacentral:rRNA from 1 species